rnacentral:lncRNA from 1 species
UAGUAAGUAGACAUAAAAUCACUGGAGAUUUUUUUUUUUUUCUCUGAAGGAAGAAAAUAUCUCCAUGAAACUUUUAUGCAUGUGGUUUUGGUCUUCUGGGUUGAAUCACUGUGCCAUGACUUUGAAGAUCACUCCAGAAUUCAGAGCUACUCACAGCAGCAAGUCAUGGAGGUUUUGGAGCACAAGCUCCCAGUGAACGUGGAUCAUAGCUAAUGGAGGGAAGCACAGUUACCCCAUCCGCUCUGAACAGCAGAGAGAUGGUGUGGCCCACAGAGCUUGGUCCUGCUUGUGUAAGGGCCUCUGCCUUUUGCGGUUACUGCCAGCCUAUAUUUGGACAUUUUUUUGAGGACUAUUUACCAAAGACCAGAAUUGCGAGAAAGAAAUUCCCUUGCAGUGGACCGACCACCUUUUUUUCAGGCUAUUUUGUGGAAGGAAAAUGCCAGGAGCGAGUUGAAAAAGAAGGCUUUUUGCAUACCCUGCUGCUCUGCCUGGGAGGUAAAAAGGGGUAAUCUUUUUGCACACCACAUGAAGCAGGUGAUAUUCUUUUGCUACCAGAAGGAUCUGAAAACUUUGUGAAAAUGGUGCUGUUUAAUACUUUCCCAUGGCAAAGGUUAGCUCCUACAUGUGUGUGUUGGUUGAAUAAAACAUUUUCUUAUUAAAGUGAUAUGCUUCA